rnacentral:lncRNA from 1 species
UGGAGGUCCUGUUUAAUUCAACUGCUGGAACUGCUGGAUCAUGUCUGAAUGAAUGCAGCAGAAGUCUGCUUACAGUUCUCAAGACUCUUGACUCAGGGCCAGCCCAAGAGCAGACCCAGCCAAGGAGCCACGCUUUUGGCUCCUAGAUUCAAAGUCGUGGCUGCAGAAAUGUGUACAAAACAAUUCCAUGAAAGAUCAAGUGGAUAGGAUCAUUUGCAAUACAAGUUUAUCUAACGACUUCUCUCAAUUAAGAAAAUAAAUAAAUGUGCUUCUUACUUGCAGGCACGAGGAAGCAGCCUUUGAUCCAUCAUUCACUGAGACAAGUAUGGCUCGUGGUCCACCACCGUGAACUAUG